UUAGCUGGUUGGUGAGGUAAGAGCCCACCAAGGCGAUGAUGGGUAGCCGGCCUGAGAGGGUGUACGGCCACACUGGGACUGAGAUACGGCCCAGACUCCUACGGGAGGCAGCAGCUAAGAAUAUUCCGCAAUGGACGAAAGUCUGACGGAGCGACGCCGCGUGGAUGAAGAAGGCCGAAAGGUUGUAAAGUUCUUUUGUUGGGGAAGAAUAACCAUGGGAGGGAAUGCCCGUGGGAUGACAUGAACCGACGAAUAAGCCCCGGCUAACUACGUGCCAGCAGCCGCGGUAACACGUAGGGGGCGAGCGUUGUUCGGAAUUACUGGGCGUAAAGGGCAUGUAGGCGGUCUUGUAAGCUUGGCGUGAAAGACCACGGCUCAACCGUGGGAUUGCGUUGAGAACUGCGAGGCUUGAGUGACGGAGAGGGAGCUAGAAUUCCUGGUGUAGGGGUGGAAUCUGUAGAGAUCAGGAAGAAUACCAAUGGCGAAGGCAAGCUCCUGGCCGAUGACUGACGCUGAGGUGCGAAAGUGUGGGGAUCAAACAGGAUUAGAUACCCUGGUAGUCCACACUGUAAACGAUGUGCACUAGGUGCUGGUACGGAUGUAUCAGUGCCGUAGCUAACGUGAUA
rnacentral:rRNA from 1 species